AUUGAACGCUGGCGGCAGGCCUAACACAUGCAAGUCGAGCGGAGCGGCGGACGGGUGAGUAAUGCCUAGGAAUCUGCCUGGUAGUGGGGGAUAACGUCCGGCAACGGGCGCUAAUACCGCAUACUAUCAGAUGAGCCUAGGUCGGAUUAGCUAGUUGGUGGGGUAAAGGCCUACCAAGGCGACGAUCCGUAACUGGUCUGAGAGGUGGAUCAGUCACACGGGAAUGGAGACACGGCCCAGACUCCAACGGGAGGCAGCAGUGGGGAAGAUGGGAAAAUGGGCGAAAGCCUGAUCCAGCCAGGCGGCUUGGUUGAAAAAGGUCUUCGGAUUUAAAGGCACGUUAAGUGGGGAGGCGUUACCAACAGAGUAAGCACCGGCUAACUUCGUGCCAGCAGCCGCGGUAAUUC
rnacentral:rRNA from 1 species